rnacentral:rRNA from 1 species
GACGAACGCUGGCGGCGUGCUUAACACAUGCAAGUCGAACGGAAAGGCCCUGCUUUUGUGGGGUGCUCGAGUGGCGAACGGGUGAGUAACACGUGAGUAACCUGCCCUUGACUUUGGGAUAACUUCAGGAAACUGGGGCUAAUACCGGAUAGGAGCUCCUGCUGCCUGGUGGGGGUUGGAAAGUUUCGGCGGUUGGGGAUGGACGCGCGGCUUAUCAGCUUGUUGGUGGGGUAGUGGCUUACCAAGGCUUUGACGGGUAGCCGGCCUGAGAGGGUGACCGGCCACAUUGGGACUGAGAUGCGGCCCAGACUCCUACGGGAGGCAGCAGUGGGGAAUAUUGCACAAUGGGCGGAAGCCUGAUGCAGCAACGCGGCGUGCGGGAUGACGGCCUUCGGGUUGUAAACCGCUUUCGCCUGUGACGAAGCGUGAGUGACGGUAAUGGGUAAAGAAGCACCGGCUAACUACGUG